UAUCCGGAGAAGACUAACAAGGAUUCCCCUAGUAACUGCGAGUGAAGCGGGAAAAGCUCAAAUUUAAAAUCUGGCUUAGCUUCGCCGCCCGAGUUGUAAUCUAGAGAAGCAUUAUCAGCGCUCGCGGCGUGUACAAGUGUCCUGGAAUGGACCAUCAUAGAGGGUGACAAUCCCGUCUUUGACACGGCUGCCUUUAGUGCUAUUGAUGUGCUCUCAACGAGUCGAGUUGUUUGGGAAUGCAGCUCUAAAUGGGUGGUAAGUUCCAUCUAAAGYUAAAUAUUGGCGAGAGACCGAUAGCGAACAAGUACCGUGAGGGAAAGAUGAAAAGAACUUUGGAAAGAGAGUUAAACAGUACGUGAAAUUGCUGAAAGGGAAACGCUUGAAGUCGGUCGCGUUGGCUGGGUAAAUUCGAGAAAUCAACCUUGCUUUCUUGAAAGCUUGGCUUAUUUCCCAGCUGACGGGCCAGCAUCAGUUUUGACCGGUGGAUAAAGGCCAAGGGAAUGUGGCACCUCUGGGUGUGUUAUAGCCCUCGGUCAUAUACAUCGGUUGGGACUGAGGAACUCAGCACUUGUUGCUUAGGAUGCUGGCAUAAAGGCUUUAAGCGACCCGUCUUGAAACACGGACCAAGGAGUCUAACAUGCCCGCGAGUGUUUGGGUGGAAAACCCGAGCGCGCAAUGAAAGUGAAAGUUGAGAUCCCUGUCAUGGGGAGCAUCAAUGCCUGGACCAGAGCUUUUGUGAUGGAUCCACGGUAGAGCGUGUAUGUUGGGACCCGAAAGAUGGUGAACUAUGCCUGAAUAGGGUGAAGCCAGAGGAAACUCUGGUGGAGGCUUGUAGCGAUUCUGACGUGCAAAUCGAUCGUCAAAUUUGGGUAUAGGGGCGAAAG
rnacentral:rRNA from 1 species